UUUAUACUCACCUCAUUUACCUCACCCUCAUUUGAUUCCUCAUUUGAAACUUUCUUUUUUUCCAUGGAACACAGAAGUUGAAUUAUAGUUUAAUUACCCAUUCCCAUUUAAAAUAAAGUAAAUGGGUACUGGAGCUGUCAAGCCUAAAUAAUCUGUAAUUUAGGAUAUUCACUGCUUCUAAAUAUUCAUUCUAAAUUGAAUACUCAUUAUUUAUUGAAUUUAACGCUAAUAUCAGUCAAAUUGCACGAAAAAGAGUGACCUCCUUCUGUGUUUCACAAAAGGAAGUCUUACAGGCUUGAAAUGACAUGAGGUUAGGAAAAUAAUGACAGAAUUUAUAGUUGAACUGACUAUAAAUUUAGAUCCUGUCUCUGCAAUAUUUAAGCCUUUUUUAACACAUUGCUUUAAUAUCUCUUUUCUGUUUGAUUCUCACCACUGAAUGCAGAGAUGGUCCUGGCUGUCUCACCAGGUAACAGGCUCCAUCCAGUGACCCGCUGAGUGAUGAUGUGGAGAGGUCUUGUUUGUCACUGUUUGUUAUUCUCCACACAAGACCCAGCUAAUGGCCUGCACAUACUCAGAUGAAACACCAACUGUGACACACACACAGAAUACGGACAGAUGUAAUGCAUCCUCCGUGCGAGUUCUACGUUUGCAAACCACAUCACAUUGCAAAAUAUAUAAUCACAGCCUUCAGAAUUGUUAGUUGCUGAGAAACUGUUGCAAACUUUCUCAAAUGUAACAUUGCUUCACUCUGCACAUGAACAACCUCAUGCAUUCAUAAUGCUAGUGAAGAGAAUACACUUUCUCUUUUACAGAUUUAUUAUUUGAUUUAUUUAUUCUUGCAUGUUGGUAAUGAAAAUUAGGAAAAUACAUUUUAAAAUAAAAGUAUAAUGAAAGUAAUAUAAUAUAAUAUAAUAUAAUAUAAUAUAAUAUAAUAUAAUAUAAUAUAAUAUAAUAUAAUUGCAUUAUGUCCUAAAGCAGCAACCUCUCAGGUUUCAUGAAAAAUAUCUUCAUUUGUGUUUUGAAGAUCUUAUGGGUUUGGAAAAAUAUGGGGCUAUAAAUAAGGACAGUGAAUAAUAUGAGUAAAUAAGGACAGAAUUUUAAUUUUGGGUGAACUAUCCCUUUAAGUUAAAAAAGCACCUGAAAGCACCUCAUUAUGAGAUGCUAAGCCUGGGAAUCUGUGAAACCCUUGUGCAGAACUCACUUCAACACACUCCACUACAGAUCUCAGUGAUUUAUUGCAGCAUGUUGAGGGAUUGUCAUGUCAAACCCGACCCGAUCUCACAAAAAAAGUAACUAUUUUAUGAGAUGAUGAUUUUGUAAGAAUUUGUAUGAUGUGAAUCUUUUGAAACACGUAUGAAUUUUAGAAAAAAAUGUAAGCAUGAGGGUCCCUACCCUAGUGAAAAACAAUCAAACUAAAAUUUAUUUGAAAUACAUUUAUUUCAUGCUGCGUAUACUACAAAUAGAUUUACAUAUUUAUUUACUUAAUACAAAACUUUUAGUAUACUAAACUGGUUUACUUAUAGUCUGCUAAAUUGGUACAACUAAUUUUUUAGGGUACUUAGUGCACUUUAAUUGUGUGGUAGUAGUGCUGAGGUACAACUAAAGAUACACUGAAGUAUUUGAUUGUGCAAAAAAGUGGAAUUAUUGCAAGUAUAGUUUAGGUACAAUUUAAAUAUCUUGCAUUUAAAGACUGAUAUUAUAAAGAUCAUACAAUUCUCAUCAACAGUGACAUUAAAACACAUUUUAGGCUUAAUAUUAAGAAAUGUGCAUUGUGCACAAGUAGUACUCCAAAUAAAGUUUAAUUAUAAUAUUGAUAUCAGUAAGUCUCAAGCGACAUGUCAGUAAAUAUGUCAAUAGAUUUGAACUAUACUUAGUAUGAAAUAAAUGUAUAUUAAACAAAUUAUUUUUUAAUAGGGUAAACCCACUCCUAAACAUAACUGUCACUGGGGCAUGAACAUAUUUCACGAAAGCAAAAAAUACAAAUUUGUCACUAAUUAGCCAAAAUGUUAAAUAGUUACAAACUGUGAUUUUGUUUGCUAAACCCUAGUGCUAUAAGCAUAUUCCUGCAUUAAAGAACAAACCAAACCUCCACCAUUCACAGGAUGUUUACAGUUACAGACUGUUGCCUCUGAGUCUGAACCAUCCCAGAUUACCAGGCAUGGGUUCUUGGCCUAUCUUAAUGUUUAUGAUAGUGGAGAAUGAAGAUCUUUUAUAUUUUUUUAAAUGUAAUUUUACCUCAAGUUUAGUCAUUGGAAGCUUAUAAUGACUAAUAUUAUUAGACCGAUUAGAGUUCAGUUGUAAAAAUAACACCACAAAGGGUUUAGGUGUUACUAUACAUAUAUGUCUAGACGGCAUGUGCAGUGCCUUUUGUUUUGAUUAAUCACUGAAAUGUGAAGUUUGUUUGAAGCAAGUUGCCAGCUGUGGUCUGUAAAACUUCAGUGAAGUUGGAGGCCCAUUUGCUCAGAUCCAAAACUCUCUGGCAACAGAAACAUCAUUUACUUUGUUUUAAAAUGCUUUAUUUAUUUUCCUGUUGCACUUAAAAUUUUUUGAGAGCUUCAAUGUACCAUCAAACCAGCCAUGAAAUGGGCAUUAUAACAGCGUAUAUUUCUCUCUGGGUGGGUUAA
ensembl:lncRNA